AUUUAGCAGCGUUAGUUUAGGCGUGGGCUAGGGGCCCAGUCUAUAAAGAGUAGAGUCUUGAGACAGACACAGCGCCAUCUAGUGUUAGCAGGGGGCGUGUGUCGUGUGCUAGACGUUUUUUUUUUUUGUGAAUGACACAGACCGAAAGGAUGCAUGGUGGCAACUUAAUCGUGCGGAGCAGGCGUCCUAGCCUAGUUCCGUGUCGGUCACUCGGGCC